rnacentral:rRNA from 1 species
CAGUAGCCGCGGGAAUACGAAGGGGGCUAGCGUUGCUCGGAAUUACUGGGCGUAAAGGGCGCGUAGGCGGAUAGUUUAGUCAGAGGUAAAAGCCCAGGGCUCAACCUUGGAACUGCCUUUGAUACUGGCUAUCUUGAGUUCGGGAGAGGUGAGUGGAAUGCCGAGUGUAGAGGUGAAAUUCGUAGAUAUUCGGCGGAACACCAGUGGCGAAGGCGACUCACUGGCCCGAUACUGACGCUGAGGCGCGAAAGCGUGGGGAGCAAACAGGAUUAGAUACCCCUGUAGUCCCUGUCUCUUAUAC